rnacentral:rRNA from 1 species
AACGCUGGCGGCGUGCCUAACACAUGCAAGUCGCACGAGAAAGGGUAGCAAUACCUGAGUACAGUGGCGCACGGGUGAGUAACACGUGAAUCAUCUACCUUCGAGUGGGGAAUAACUGAGAGAAAUCUCAGCUAAUACCGCAUAACACCUACGGGUCAAAGCAGCAAUGCGCUUGAAGAGGAGUUCGCGGCAGAUUAGUUAGUUGGCGGGGUAAUGGCCCACCAAGACGAUGAUCUGUAUCCGGCCUGAGAGGGCGCACGGACACACUGGAACUGAAACACGGUCCAGACUCCUACGGGAGGCAGCAGUGGGGAAUUUUGCGCAAUGGGGGAAACCCUGACGCAGCAACGCCGCGUGGAGGAUGAAAUCCCUUGGGAUGUAAACUCCUUUCGAUCGGGACGGAUUAUGACGGUA